rfam:Drosophila ananassae strain TSC#14024-0371.13 Ctg01_17285, whole genome shotgun sequence.
UUGUUGCAGCUAGCGGGUGUUUUAUUUGGUAGCUGAUAUCGAAAGAAUCUAUCAUAAGACACACGCGGCUAUAAUCG